GACGAACGCUGGCGGCGUGCUUAACACAUGCAAGUCGAACGGAAAGGCCCUGCUUUUGUGGGGUGCUCGAGUGGCGAACGGGUGAGUAACACGUGAGUAACCUGCCCUUGACUUUGGGAUAACUUCAGGAAACUGGGGCUAAUACCGGAUAGGAGCUCCUGCUGCAUGGUGGGGGUUGGAAAGUUUCGGCGGUUGGGGAUGGACUCGCGGCUUAUCAGCUUGUUGGUGGGGUAGUGGCUUACCAAGGCUUUGACGGGUAGCCGGCCUGAGAGGGUGACCGGCCACAUUGGGACUGAGAUACGGCCCAGACUCCUACGGGAGGCAGCAGUGGGGAAUCUUGCACAAUGGGCGGAAGCCUGAUGCAGCAACGCCGCGUGCGGGAUGACGGCCUUCGGGUUGUAAACCGCUUUCGACUGUGACGAAGCGUGAGUGACGGUAAUGGGUAAAGAAGCACCGGCUAACUACGUG
rnacentral:rRNA from 1 species